UACAGAGGUGGCAAGCGUUGUUCGGAAUUACUGGGCGUAAAGGGCGCGUAGGCGGUUCGUCAAGUCCUGUGUGAAAUCCCCCGGCUCAACUGGGGAACUGCACAGGAAACUAGCGGGCUUGAGUUCGGGAGAGGGAAGCGGAAUUCCGGGUGUAGCGGUGAAAUGCGCAGAUAUCAGGAGGAACACCGGUGGCGAAGGCGGGUCUCUGGGCCGAUACUGACGCUGAGGAGCGAAAGCGUGGGGAGCGAACAGG
rnacentral:rRNA from 1 species